CAGAUAGAGUGAAGACUUGCUGGGGGCUGGGAGGCCUGCCAGCCUCCCGGUCCCCCAGCACCCCUGCCUGCUGUGUACCGGGGUAAAUCCCAAUACAAAGACCUGCAAAAAGCCACUAAAGAUUCUGACUCCUCCUUUACCCGGACUGCUGGAUCAGAAAACCUGCUCUGUGGCCCAUUCCUGCCCCUACAGAUAGACUUUGUUCUGGACUGUACCCCGGGCUCCUUUGUCCUCAGACUUGUGAUGAGGUGACACCAGAGGAAAGCUCAGCAAGACACUGGAGGCAAGCACUGGAUUACAGAGGAAGAUACUGGAACC